rnacentral:rRNA from 1 species
UACGAGAGGCCCAAACGUUAUUCGGAUUUACUGGGCUUAAAGAGUUCGUAGGCGGCGCAGAAAGUAGGGUGUGAAAGCCCUCGGCCUAACCGAGGAAUUGCGCUCUAAACUACUGUGCUUGAGGAAUCUAGAGGUGAGCGGAACUGAUGGUGGAGCGGUGAAAUGCGUUGAUAUCAUCAGGAACACCGGAGGCGAAGGCGGCAUCCUGGACCGGCAUUGACGCUGAGGCGCGAAAGCUAGGGGAGCAAACGGG